CCGUAGGCAGGGUGAGAAUCCCAAGGCGCUUGAGAGAACUCGGGUGAAGGAACUAGGCAAAAUGGCACCGUAACUUCGGGAGAAGGUGCGCCCUUUGGUGUGGUCACGUGCGUGACUGAGCAUCGAAGGGUCGCAGUAACCUGGCCGCUGCGACUGUUUAUCAAAAACACAGCACUCUGCAAACACGAAAGUGGACGUAUAGGGUGUGACGCCUGCCCGGUGCUGGAAGGUUAAUUGAUGGGGUCAGCCGCAAGGCGAAGCUCUUGAUCGAAGCCCCAGUAAACGGCGGCCGUAACAAUAACGGUCCUAAGGUAGCGAAAUUCCUUGUCGGGUAAGUUCCGACCUGCACGAAUGGCGUAACGACAGCGGCGCUGUCUCCACCCGAGACUCAGUGAAAUUGAAAUCGCUGUGAAGAUGCAGCGUUCCCGCGGCAAGACGGAAAGACCCCGUGAACCUUUACUAUAGCUUUACACUGAACGUUGAGUUCUUCUGUGUAGUAUAGGUGGGAGGCUAUGAAACCAGGACGCUAGUUCUGGUGGAGCCAUCCUUGAAAUACCACCCUGAAGUGCUUGACGUUCUAACCUAGGCCCGUAAUCCGGGUCAGGGACCGUGUAUGGUGGGUAGUUUGACUGGGGCGGUCUCCUCCCAAAGAGUAACGGAGGAGCACGAAGGUACGCUCAGCGCGGUCGGACAUCGCGCACUGUGUGCAAAGGCAUAAGCGUGCUUGACUGCGAGAUCGACGGAUCAAGCAGGUACGAAAGUAGGUCUUAGUGAUCCGGUGGUUCUGUAUGGAAGGGCCAUCGCUCAACGGAUAAAAGGUACUCCGGGGAUAACAGGCUGAUACCGCCCAAGAGUUCAUAUCGACGGCGGUGUUUGGCACCUCGAUGUCGGCUCAUCACAUCCUGGGGCUGUAGCCGGUCCCAAGGGUAUGGCUGUUCGCCAUUUAAAGUGGUACGCGAGCUGGGUUCAGAACGUCGUGAGACAGUUCGGUCCCUAUCUGUCGUGGGCGUUGGAGAUUUGAGGGGGGCUGCUCCUAGUACGAGAGGACCGGAGUGGACGUUCCGCUGGUGUUCGGGUUGUCAUGCCCAUGGCAUUGCCCGGUAGCUACGAACGGAAGUGAUAACCGCUGAAAGCAUCUAAGCGGGAAGCACGCCCCAAGAUGAGAUCUCCCGAGAGCUUGACUCUCCUAAAGGCACCAUCAAGACUAGGUGGUUGAUAGGUCAGGUGUGGAAGCGCAGCAAUGCGUUGAGCUAACUGAUACUAAUGAGCCGUGAGGCUUGAUC
rnacentral:rRNA from 1 species